GUCAGUAAAUUUUCAUGAAAAUGCCUCUGUAACCAAUGAAACAUAAAGCACACAUUCCCCCCAUAAAAGCGUGCUCUCGUUCAUGACUACAAUGUCUGCCUAGCUGAUGGAACCAUUGACACACUAACACUUGUGAACAGGCCAUAAAAUAACACUUGUAUGUGGUUAUAUUCCCAUUAGGCUACAAGCUAACACACACACAUACUUGCACGAUAUUAUUGGAUGAGAUUUUUGUGAUAUAUAUAUGUUAUUUACCGGAUUGGAGGUCCGUAUAGAGAAAUAUUUCUCGAGGUCUUAAAAACGGCCCGAGGCCGAAGGCCGAGGGACGUUUUUAAGACCGAGAGAAAUAUUUCUCUAUACGGACCGACCAUACCGGUAAAUAAUAUUUUUAUUUUUUUUUAAUUCCUCUGGAUUUCCCCAAUCACUCCUCCCGCACGCGAAUGAAGCUGCCAAAUAAAACGUCGUUUCUAUCAAUACUAUCGGGAAGAGAAAUAUCUUUUGUGAGAUAGUAAAAUUCGUUUUCACUGUGUUUUUCAUCGUCUGCAGACAUUUUAAUGUUUUAAAAAGUAGCCUUUAAACUCGUCUUUAAAUUUUGAAAAAUAAAAACAUUGGCUCUAUGGCUUUAAAUCUCGCGCGGUCCGUACGGGUUCAUACGGACCGCUCACGUAGCCAAUCAGAUUGCAGAAAAGCGUAAAAUAUGACUUCGGACCGC